rnacentral:piRNA from 1 species
UCUGCCAGAUACAUACCAGACUUUU